AGAAUCAACGCUGGCGGCGUGCCUAACACAUGCAAGUCGAACGAGAAAGUGGAGCAAUCCAUGAGUAAAGUGGCGACCGGGUGAGUAACACGUGACUAACCUACCUUCGAGUGGGGGAUAACCUCGGGAAACCGGGCUAAUACCGCAUAACAUCUUUGAAGUGGAAAUUUCGGAGAUCAAAGGAGCAAUUCGCUUGAAGAGGGGGUCGCGGCUGAUUAGCUAGUUGGCGGGUAACGCCCACAAGGCUUAGAUCGGUA
rnacentral:rRNA from 1 species